GGCAGAGGGUGGGAGGAGACGGGCUGGCCGAGGGGCAGAGAAAAGGCAGGAAGGAAGCUGAUAUAAAAAAAAAAAAAUCUAUCUUGAGAAACAAUUCCUCUCCAUCUUUAAACCUAUGAAACUCAAAAAAUAAAAUCUGCUCUUGAAAUCUAAUGAUUAGACAGGCAUAGAAUACCAGUUAUAGACAUUCUGGCUAAAAGGGGAGAAAAUUUAAAGGAAAAAAGAAGUCACUAGUUCAAAAUAUUUUCAAAAUUCAGCUGUUUAAACUUCCUUUGUAUUACAUAAAAUUAAUUAUUAUUAUAUAAAUAUUAUUUUAUUUAAUGAUGGGAUUAUAGUAUUUCUUUGUGUGUGUAAUAAAACUUGAAACAACCUUACAACAAAUUUAAUUGCUUAAUCCUUACCUUCCUCUGAGUUAACCUGACAAGUAAACUUUGAUUGGUUUUUUCUAUAAGUAUUUUAGACAUUAAGUUGCCACAUAUUACAUGUUUAUUUUGGUUUAGCUGUGUGUUCCUGGGAUCAAUCUAGCACCAGCUUUCUUUACUGAUAUCUGACUAAAUAUUCUCAGAAUUGGAUNAUGUUAAAUCUUUUUUUUUUUUUUUUUUUUUUUUUUUUUUUUUGUCUUUUUAGGCCACAGGCUGGGGUCGAAUCGGAGCUGUUGCUGCUGGCCUACGCUAGAGCCACAGCAAGGCCAGAUCUAGCCAUGUCACGGCAACACCUGAUCCUUAAACCUACUGAGCAUGGCCAGGGAUUGAACCCUCAAUCUCAUGGUUCUAGUUGGAUUCGUUUCCUCUGUGCCACGACAGGAACUCCAGAAUUGGAUACCUUUAAUAUCUUCAUGGAAACUUCAUUUUGGCCUUUUGUCAAGUAUUUGGUGAAGUGCCUGACAUCUCAUUGGUGUUCUACAAACGUUCACCAAAAUAAACAGUGACUCGAAACAUCUGGACAAGAAGAUAAAAUUAAAAAAAAAAAAACAACAAAGUAGAGGCAUGGCUACCUUCAGUAAGUCCUGAACAGGAAUGCACCAGGCUCAGGCAAUGCCUGUGGCCUCAGGGUUACCCUAAGAGAUAAGAAGGCAAAGGACACAUGACCUUGACUACUUUAUUCCCCUCUUGCACACUGUGAACGGACCAAACCUAUGUCUGGACCCACCCAAAAGGGAAAACUAUGUUGGACUCAGGUAUGUCGGGGAUGAGAGAGCGAGGUUAGAAUUUGACACCCAAGAAAGAAGAGGUGGAAUAGUGGUUGGAUGUGCGUUUGACAUUUUCUGUCAUUGCUGCCCUUUUCUUCCCUCACAACAUGGUUCUUUGAGCAGGAAGACCCAGGGGAACAUGGCUAGGGAGUAACACAGUUAUUACCUUAAGACAAAGAAAUGAAAGAUACAGAAGAAUCUAAUUCAUGUAUCAAUGCUCACUUGUAACCACUGAAUAAACUUUGGAUGUGACCCUCCA
rnacentral:lncRNA from 1 species